GAUGAACGCUGGCGGCAUGCUUUACACAUGCAAGUCGGACGGGAAGUGGUGUUUCCAGUGGCGGGCGGGUGAGUAACGCGUAAGAACCUGCCCUUGGGAGGGGAACAACAGCUGGAAACGGCUGCUAAUACCCCGUAGGCUGAGGAGCGAAAGGAGGAAUUCGCCCAAGGAGGGGCUCGCGUCUGAUUAGCUAGUUGGUGAGGUAAUAGCUUACCAAGGCCGUGAUCAGUAGCUGGUCCGAGAGGAUGAUCAGCCACACUGGGACUGAGACAAGGCCCAGACUCCUACGGGAGGCAGCAGUGGGGAAUUUUCCGCAAUGGGCGAAAGCCUGACGGAGCAAUGCCGCGUGGAGGUAAAAGGCCUACGGGUCAUGAACUUCUUUUCCUGGAGAAGAAACAAUGACGGUAUCUGGGGAAUAAGCAUCGGCUAACUCUGUG
rnacentral:rRNA from 1 species